rnacentral:lncRNA from 1 species
CACACUUCUCAGAUCGAAGUUCGUUAUUCAGUAUUGUUUUUCUGAAUCGUAAUUUGUUUUUGCUGCUUUCAUUUGAACCCUUUUUUGUUUCCGAAAAACAUUUUUCGAGUUUUUAGGUAAAUUUUUUGUUUUCUUCUUCUUCUUCUUCUUCUUCUUCUUCUUCUUCUUCUUUUAAUUUUUGUUUUGGUUUCUUUUUCUGCAAUUUCUCUGUAAAUUGCAGGAAGAUUGUAACCAUUUCAAUGUAUUACU